rnacentral:rRNA from 1 species
ACUCCUGCGGGAGGCAGCAGUGGGGAAUAUUGGACAAUGGGCGCAAGCCUGAUCCAGCCAUGCCGCGUGAGUGAUGAAGGCACUAGGGUUGUAAAGCUCUUUCACCGGUGAAGAUAAUGACGGUAACCGGAGAAGAAGCCCCGGCUAACUUCGUGCCAGCAGCCGCGGUAAUACGAAGGGGGCUAGCGUUGUUCGGAUUUACUGGGCGUAAAGCGCACGUAGGCGGACUAUUAAGUCAGGGGUGAAAUCCCGGGGCUCAACCCCGGAACUGCCUUUGAUACUGGUAGUCUUGAGUUCGAGAGAGGUGAGUGGAAUUCCGAGUGUAGAGGUGAAAUUCGUAGAUAUUCGGAGGAACACCAGUGGCGAAGGCGGCUCACUGGCUCGAUACUGACGCUGAGGUGCGAAAGCGUGGGGAGCAAACAGGAUUAGAUACCCCUGUAGUCCC